GAUGAACGCUGGCGGCGUGCUUAACACAUGCAAGUCGAACGGAAAGGCCCAAGCUUGCUUGGGUACUCGAGUGGCGAACGGGUGAGUAACACGUGGGUGAUCUGCCCUGCACUUCGGGAUAAGCCUGGGAAACUGGGUCUAAUACCGGAUAGGACCACAUUUUGGAUGGUGUGGUGGAAAGUUUUUCGGUGUGGGAUGAGCUCGCGGCCUAUCAGCUUGUUGGUGGGGUAAUGGCCUACCAAGGCGUCGACGGGUAGCCGGCCUGAGAGGGUGUACGGCCACAUUGGGACUGAGAUACGGCCCAGACUCCUACGGGAGGCAGCAGUGGGGAAUAUUGAACAAUGGGCGCAAGCCUGAUGCAGCGCCGCCGCGUGGGGGAUGACGGCCUUCGGGUUGUAAACGCCUUUCGCUAGGGACGAAGCGUUAUGUGACGGUACCUGGAGAAGAAGCACCGGCUAACUACGUG
rnacentral:rRNA from 1 species